ensembl:snRNA U2 U2 spliceosomal RNA
AUCGCUUCUCGGCCUUUUGGCUAAGAUCAAGUGUAAUACAUACUCACAAGCCAGUGACAUAGCAAGAAACUAAAACCUAUCAGACUUUACAGUGAAUUUUAAAAUUGGGUCUCAUUUUUUUAAAAAGCCAAUGCAAUAUUUUAAAAUAAUUUAUCCAUGCUCCUUGCAAAACUAA